rnacentral:rRNA from 1 species
GGACGAACGCUGGCGGCGUGCCUAAUACAUGCAAGUAGAACGCACAGUUUAUACCGUAGCUUGCUACACCAUAGACUGUGAGUUGCGAACGGGUGAGUAACGCGUAGGUAACCUGCCUGGUAGCGGGGGAUAACUAUUGGAAACGAUAGCUAAUACCGCAUAAUAUUAAUUAUUGCAUGAUAAUUAAUUGAAAGGUGCAAUUGCACCACUACCAGAUGGACCUGCGUUGUAUUAGCUAGUAGGUGAGGUAACGGCUCACCUAGGCGACGAUACAUAGCCUACCUGAGAGGGUGAUCGGCCACACUGGGACUGAGACACGGCCCAGACUCCUACGGGAGGCAGCAGUAGGGAAUCUUCGGCAAUGGACGAAAGUCUGACCGAGCAACGCCGCGUUAGUGAAGAAGGUUUUCGGAUCGUAAAGCUCUGUUGUAAGAGAAGAACGGGUGUGAGAGUGGAAAGUUCACACUGUGACGGUAUCUUACCAGAAAGGGACGGCUAACUACGUG